AGCCCCUUAAGGAUCCAAACCAAUAUCCCUCCGGAUUACGUUGAUCCAGUCCUCAUCUCAGCCAUCAGCCGAAUCCAGAGCCUCCACGUCCUUCCCAUCAUCUCCCGUGUUCCACAACAAAACCAAGCCUCAGCCGAUUCCCAAACCGAGAUCCUCACAAUCUUCUUCCGGAUUCCUCUCUCCCACGAUUGUAAUCCAGUCAUUCACGAUCAGCCCUUCCUCCCAACUUCCAAAUCCUUCCCAGAUUCCCAAGCUUCCCGUGAGCCAAAUCCUCCCAUUCGAAGCAUCCUCAGCUAGAUCCCAGUCAAGAUAAGUCUUCCGGAUUCCUCUGUUCUGGAAUUAAUUCCAGCCAUCCGGAUUUGCUCCCAUGUUCUUCGCCGAAUCUCCCAGCUUCAUCCCGUUCAAAUUCCCUCAUCCACAAAUCCUGAUCUAGCCGAGAUCCUCUCAGAGCUCGUUUCCAGCCGUCCGUAGCCUCCCGUGUGCGUUUCAUUCGGAUCCAAAGAACAGAGCCAUCAUCUUCUCAGCCGUAAGCUUCAUCCACAUCACUCCCUGCUUCAAAACAAAAUUCCCUGCAUCUCAAAACAGAGCUCAUCCUCUCCGAAAAUCAAGCAUUUCCCCUGCAUUUGUGAUCCAUCUUCAUCCAAGCUUCCGAGAUCCUCUCACACAAUCCACAUCCUCCCCUGUUUCGGAAACAGAACAGAGUAUCAGCCUAUUCACGCUCAUUCCAGCC
rnacentral:lncRNA from 1 species